rnacentral:lncRNA from 1 species
AGAAAACUGUGAUACUUAUCGAAAUCAAGUAUCGGUAUUUUACAAUGGCAAUAAUAAUUCUAGUGAUCCUAUACCAAAAUAUUAUUAUUAUAAUAAUAACAAGGGCAUUAAUAAUAAUAAUGAUAACAAAAUAGUUUAUCACAAAGAUAUAACAACACCAAACAAUUUAAAUCCUUCUUUGAUCCAUAUAGAUAAAAUAAGUAAAAAACAAAGUUGUUUAGAUGCUAUACCAUGUCUUAAUGUUAACUCUGAGAUAAAUAAAAACAUAAGUAAUGAAAAAAUAAAAUUUAUUAAUUACGAACCAGUUCCACAAAAAAAUAUAAAUAAUGCACCACAUGAAUAUUAUAUUAAAAAACCUAUACAUCCACCCACUAAAUAUUUUGAAACUGAUUAUAAAGAUAAAAGUAUGGUACCUAUAUUAGUAGAUAAACCUUUUUUUCAAAAUAAACAACACAUACAACCUAAUAACAGUGGUUGGAAUUAUGAAAAGAAUACAAUGCCCAAUGAAGGGAACCAAGGGAAAGUAAUAACAAAAAAAACAAUAAAAAUUAAAAAUAAUAUAGAUGAAUUAAUUAAAGAAAAAGAUAAACAUAUUUUGGAACUAGAAAAAGAUUUAAGCAUAGAAAAAAAAGAAAAUGAAAUAAAAUGUGAGCAUUUCGAUAAUGUGACUCAUCAUAGUAAUAGUCAUCAAGACCCAAAUGUCGCAGAGGAUAAUAACGUUUUACAGAAAAAGUUGUUAAACCAAAAAAUAAAAUACGAGGAAACAUUAAAACAUUUAAAAAAAAUAGAAACAGAAAAAAGGAAUUUAAAAUCUAACUUGAUUGUGAGAGACAAAGUAUUAUCGAAAUUAGAAAACGAAAUAGGUUUGGUUGAUAAUGAAAAUGAUUACCUACGUAAAAUAAAAACCGACCAUAGUUUAAAUGAUAUACACAGUGUUUUUAAAUAUUGGCAUAAAAAAAAGGAUAAGGCAAAAAUGGAGUUAAAUACAAAUGAGAAAAAAAAGCAAAAUCAAUAUCAAAAUAAUUACAAUAAUAGAGACAACAACAGUAAUAACAUAAACAAAAUUUGCAAACUUGAUAAACAAAAAAAUGACCUUAAUUGCCUGUACGAAGCAAGUUCCUAUGAAGGAUCGAGCUCGACUAACAAUGACGAAGCGAUAAGUGACGAUAAUACAGAUAAGAACAAUAAAAAAAAUAAAAAAAAAAAAAAAAAUAAUAAAGCAAUAAAAACUAAUUUAGACAAGAAUGAUAUAUAUUCAUUAAAGUCCAUUAUUGUAAAAUUAGAAAAAGAAUUAGAAGAAAUAAAAGAAGAAAAUAUAAAUAUUAACUUUAAAUAUGAAAAUACAUUUCAAACAUUAAGCGAAUUAAGGAAAGACACUUUGGAAUAUAUGGAAUCAAUUGUUUCACGUGACAUGAGAAUAGGAUAUAUGGAAAGUAUGUUACAAAAAAGUGAAAAGGAUUUAUCUAAAUUAAAAAGUUUAUAUAAAAAUGAACAAAAAAUAAAUAAAGAAGCAGUUGAAAAACUAAUAUCUGAAAUAAAAAUUUUAAAAAAACAAUCUGACUAUUUUCAAUCAACUAUACAAGAAAAAGACGCACAGAAUGUGUUGCUGAAAAGUGACAUAGUACGUAAUGAAAUUUUAAUUAGUCAGUUUGAAGAACGAAAUAAAGAAUUGCAAAAUGAAUUAAAACUGAUGUGUACUAAUUUGGAAAAUGUUAUUGAUGUAUCAAAUAAAAAAGAUAUUUUUAUGAAUGAAUUAGAAAAACAACUAAGGGAAAACGAAGUUAAUAGGCAAAAUGCAUAUCUUAAUGAAGUUGCAAACAGUAGAAAAGCACACACGAAUCUGCAAUUUAAAGAAAUGUUAUAUGAAAAGUCGGCACAAAAUGAUUUGAACGAAUUACAUAAUUUAAAAAAAGAAUUAUAUUUAAAUAAAAUACAUAUGGAAAAAGCAAAACAUGCUUUCGAAAUACUUAAAAAUGCCCCAAAAGCUGACAUAACAAUGAUCAAAACAAAUAAAAAUACAAAACCGAACGCUAACGAUGCGCAAAGUUACAGUAACAUUACUCACAAUUUUUCGGAUGAUAAUAAUCAUGACCAAAACUUUGAAAAUAAUACGGUUAAUGAGCAAACGUCUGCUUAUGUUAAAAAAGUUGAUCAAAGUGAAAAAGGGGUUAUCUAUGACAAAAUGGGACCAGCUACGACGACUAAACCAAAUGUAGCGAAAAAGCGAAAUAGCGAAAUAGCGAAAAAGCGAAAUAGCCAAAUAGCCAAAUAGCCAAAUAGCCAAAUAGCGAAAUAGCC